rnacentral:rRNA from 1 species
GAUGAACGCUGGCGGCGUGCCUGACACAUGCAAGUCGAGCGAAGCACUUACUUUAGAUUUCUUCGGAAUGACGAAGUUUGUGACUGAGCGGCGGACGGGUGAGUAACGCGUGGGCAACCUGCCCUGUACAGGGGGAUAACAGUUAGAAAUGACUGCUAAUACCGCAUAAGCCCACAGCUUCGCAUGAAGCAGUGGGAAAAACUCCGGUGGUACAGGAUGGGCCCGCGUCUGAUUAGCUAGUUGGUAAGGUAACGGCUUACCAAGGCGACGAUCAGUAGCCGACCUGAGAGGGUGACCGGCCACAUUGGGACUGAGACACGGCCCAAACUCCUACGGGAGGCAGCAGUGGGGAAUAUUGCACAAUGGGGGAAACCCUGAUGCAGCGACGCCGCGUGAGCGAUGAAGUAUUUCGGUAUGUAAAGCUCUAUCAGCAGGGAAGAAAGUGACGGUACCUGACUAAGAAGCCCCGGCUAACUACGUG